UUCUAACUUAAUUUAUCUAUGAUUGAACUUUACACUUUUAUUUUUAUUUUAAGACAGACAGAGAAGGUAGGCACCCCACUAUUCAGAGAUUCUAGCACUAGUAGAAAAAUAUAAAAAGGCACCGCUCAAUGGCCACCGAUUUUCGAAAACUCAUGGCUUAAAAAAUGGGCGGGAUUAUAUAUAUUUAAAUUGCCACCGGUUCAAACUGAACCGGUGGCAUAAAUGGUAAAGGCCACCGGUGGCUUUGUUAAAAAAAAAAAAAACGCGCCUCAUCUCUUAAUUAUAUUAGCUUAGCUAUUCUUCUAUCUUCUCGUACUCUCUCCUUUGUUUUCUCCCUCUUCUCGAUUUCUCCGUCUCCUCUCUCUUCUCUCUGCUCAAACUUUCCUUUCUCUCUCUUCACUUGCCUCCUCUUGCUCCAUCUACCGCCGCCCCAUCUACCGCCGCUCCACUAUUCUUUCUUUCACUCCUCCCUUGGCAGCACUAAUGGGGAAUUCAGGAUUUGAGGAUGACGGCGGUUGUGAAUGUUGUCACCACCAUCGUAAUUGACAGUCUAUUUAUUUACUGGUGCCAGAUCUUUGCAGAUGUGGUGGGAUUCUUCACGAAGGCUAUUACUUCAACUGGAACAAAGAAAGGUGAACUGUUUUUGGUGAUGUGAGUACUCAGGUGAAAAACAACAAUGUCACAGCUGAUAUCAAAGUAGACACCGGCUCUAAUCUUGGUUGGGGUUAUGUUGUGAUGAGGUUGAUGAACAUGUUCUCUUCACGGCACCAAGGUGAUUAAGGUGACUGUGGUCGCGAUUCGCCAGCCCACUCCAUUUCUCUAUCUCUUCUUGAGUCCUCUGCUUAAAUCCGAGAAUAAGGUACCAUCACAAGGAGAGAAUGUAACUAAUACUUCUCCUCAGGCCGGGGCACCAGACCUUCAGAUGUCACGGUCCCGAAAUCAGGUUCCAUUGUUCAAGUUUGAAUUGCAGAACAUCCUCGCAAGGCUGCUGCUGCUGCCUCGCAAGGCUGGGUUGCUGUUGCAGCUGCUGCCUCACAAGGAUAAUGGCAGACCCUUCGUUUCUGCAUAAGCUUUUGUUCGAGCAGUUUGUCACUAUAGCUUGUUCUGUUCGGUCUAAACUGAAAAACCGGAAGGGCAGAAUAAAGGAGGAAUGGAAUUUAGCACUUAUAAAUGUACUCACAGUAGUAGCGUGCACGCUCCUUGCUGCUCAUAUGCCAAUACCUUCAGCUCUGAUCUACAGAACAGACUGCAGAAGCUCCCAAACAACAUAUUUGAAGCAAGUUAUCGUUAUAGAGAAUUUGAUCUGCAGAAAAGAGUACUGUCUUUUUUAUGCAAGGCUGUACAAUUUAGUUUAGUGGGAUUUACAGCAGGGGCACUUCAGAGCGCCUUGUUCAUGUUCAUGGCGUUGUUCUGCUACUGUGCAGCCUCUUUGUUUGUAACCUGGUAUUUUAUUUUAUUUUUUUGGACAAAAAUUGUAAUAUUACAUCAUUUUUUUA